rnacentral:rRNA from 1 species
AGCAGCCGCGGUAAUUCCAGCUCCAAUAGCGUAUAUUAAAGUUGUUGCAGUUAAAAAGCUCGUAGUUGAAUUUCGAGACCGGUUUACUGGUCGUGCUUUUGUACGUACUGGUAUUAUUGGUUUCUCCUUUCUGACGAAUCAUAAUGCCAUUAAUUUGGUGUUUUGGG